rnacentral:tRNA from 1 species
GCCGGGAUGGUGAAAUUGGCAGACACGCUAGGUUCAGGGUCUAGUGCUCGCAAGAGCUUGCGGGUUCAAAUCCCGCUCCCGGCA